ensembl:lncRNA
GGUACAAUUGAAGUCGCUAGAUGUUGUUAGCCUGAGCGCAUAAUGGAAGUGGUAGACAAUUCCUUCUAGUCUUUUGAAAAUGCUUUCAAAAUAGAUACUUUGCUUACCAAUACAUCUCUAGCACCUCUCUUAGUAUAUAGUCAGUGGAUUUGGUUAACUGUUAGUGCCGCUUACCCUGCAUUGAAGGAUGAGCUCACUUCCGUGCCUUUUUGAAGUUAGGUGUGGCCACAGGACUUGCUUUAACCAAUGAAUUGUAAGCAGAAUCGAUAAAUGUCACUUUCAGAUGGAAAGUCUGCAUCCCACUAUGAGACUGAAAAUGCCAAAUGAUGGCUUUCCCCGCCUUCCUUGCAGCUAAGGCCUGAGCGUGUGACCCACUGCUGGCUAGUAGACCACUGAGAGAGAGUCUUCUGGAGCCCUUUCUGGAAAAGGCUUUUCUCUCACAUAAAAAGAACAGCCUUGGGCUUCCCUGAUGGUCCAGUGGUUAAAAAUCCACCUUGCAAUGCAGGGGACAUGGGUUCGAUGCUUGGUCCAGGAACUAAGAUCCCACAUGCCUCGGGGCAACUAAGCCUGUGGGGCGCGACUCCUGCAGUCUAUGCCCUGCAACGAGAAGCCAACACAAUGAGAAGCCGCAACUGGAGAGUAUCCCCUGCUCAUCACAACAAGAGAAAGCCCGCAUGCAGCAACAAAGACCCAGCACAGCCAAAAAAAAAAGAUAGCCUUUCCUCAUUGUUUAAACCACUGCAGACUGACUUUACUGUUACUUGCAGCCUAAAGCCUCCAUAACUGAUACAGAACUGGUUGCUACAAUUAUGGCAGGAAUCCAUGUGAGAAAUGAGGCUUAAUUGGAGGCACAGAAAAGAAAGAAUAGAGCUGAGGAAAGCUUGGAAGUAAAGUCAGUAAGGCUGGGUGACUGAUCGGGCGCAGGGGUUGAGCUGUGUGCUGUGUAGAAUAAAAGAAGUUUAAACCCCAGGUUUUAAACCCCAGAGGUUUAAAACACUGAUAUUAAGGAUCCCAGCAAGACAGAUACAUACUGAAUGAAAGCACCAACUAUACCAGGCAGCCUACGCC